CGGUUGAUCCUGCCGGAGGGAACCCCUAUCGGGCUCGGACUAAGUCAUGCAAGUUUGCCGAAGGCCCCCGCCUUCGGCGGCGAACGGCUCCGUAAUACGCGGUCAACCUACCCUGGGGAGGGGGAUAACCUCUGGAAACCGAGGCCAAUCCCUCAUAGGGACGAAGUGCUGAGAUGCCUUCGUCCCGAAAGUAGGCGGAGAGGAUAUGGCUCCGCCAAGGCCCCAGGAUGGGACCGCGGCCCAUCAGGUAGUAGGUGGGGUAACGGCCCACCUAGCCGAAGACGGGUACGGGCGGUGAGAGCCGGAGCCCGGAGAUGGCCACUGAGACAAGGGGCCAGGCCCUACGGGGCGCAGCAGACGCGAAAACUCCGCAAUGCGGGAAACCGCGACGGGGCGAGCCCGAGUGCCUCCCUAAUAGGGAGGCUGUCCCCGAGCCUAAACAGCUCGGGAUAGGAAGGGGAGGGUAAGGCUGGUGCCAGCCGCCGCGGUAAAACCAGCUCCCCGAGGGGUUCCCACGCAUACUGGGCCUAAAGCGUCCGUAGCCGGCCCUGUAAGUCCUCGGUUAAAUCCACUGGAAGACCAGUGGACUGCCGGGGAGACUGCAGGGCUAGGGACCGGGAGGGCCGAGGGUAUUCCCGGGGGAGGGGUAAAAU
rnacentral:rRNA from 1 species